rnacentral:misc_RNA from 1 species
GGACGAUCUCAGCGAGGCGAUGGGGAUCAACCGGCCGAGCCUGUACGGGACAUUCGGCGACAAGCGGGAGCUGUUUCUCAAGGCUUAUGAGCGCUAUCGCGCUGAGAUGGCGGCAAAGUUCGCCCCGGCUUUCGCGCCCGGGCUGACGCUGCGGCAGAUGUUGGAAACGAUUUAUGCCACGGCGCUCGACGUCUAUCUCGCCGGUGAAAACGGUCCGCGUGGCUGCUUCACCGUGAUGACGGCGACCUCCGAAGCGAUGGCCGAUCCG